AACAAUAAAAUAUUUCGGGGGGAAAAUCUGUUCUUAUCAGUUUAAUAUCUGAUACGUCCCCUACCCGGGGACCAUUUAUUAAAUCGAUCUUUGGAGCAGGGAGAUGGAACAGGGGCUUGCUCGGUCCACUCCACGCAUCGACCAGAACCUCCAGGAACGAUGCAGCCCCU
ensembl:snRNA U2 U2 spliceosomal RNA